AGAGUUUGAUCCUGGCUCAGGAUGAACGCUAGCGGCAGGCCUAACACAUGCAAGUCGAGGGGUAGAGUUAGCUUGCUAACUUGAGACCGGCGCACGGGUGCGUAACGCGUAUGCAAUCUACCUUGUACAGGGGGAUAGCCCAGAGAAAUUUGGAUUAAUACCCCAUAGUAUAUUUGAAUCGCAUGGUUUAAAUAUUAAAGUUCCAACGGUACAAGAUGAGCAUGCGUCCCAUUAGCUAGAUGGUAAGGUAACGGCUUACCAUGGCAAUGAUGGGUAGGGGUCCUGAGAGGGAGAUCCCCCACGCUGGUACUGAGACACGGACCAGACUCCUACGGGAGGCAGCAGUGAGGAAUAUUGGUCAAUGGACGCAAGUCUGAACCAGCCAUGCCGCGUGCAGGAAGACGGUCCUAUGGAUUGUAAACUGCUUUUAUACAGGAAGAAACAACUCUACGUGUAGAGUCUUGACGGUACUGUAGGAAUAAGGAUCGGCUAACUCCGUGCCAGCAGCCGCGGUAAUACGGAGGAUCCAAGCGUUAUCCGGAAUCAUUGGGUUUAAAGGGUCCGUAGGCGGCCUUAUAAGUCAGUGGUGAAAUCUCCUAGCUCAACUAGGAAACUGCCAUUGAUACUGUAGGGCUUGAAUUCUUAUGAAGUAACUAGAAUAUGUAGUGUAGCGGUGAAAUGCUUAGAUAUUACAUGGAAUACCAAUUGCGAAGGCAGGUUACUAAUAAGACAUUGACGCUGAUGGACGAAAGCGUGGGGAGCGAACAGGAUUAGAUACCCUGGUAGUCCACGCCGUAAACGAUGGAUACUAGCUGUUCGGACGCAAGUUUGAGUGGCUAAGCGAAAGUGAUAAGUAUCCCACCUGGGGAGUACGCACGCAAGUGUGAAACUCAAGGAAUUGACGG
rnacentral:rRNA from 1 species